UCCCUGUUACCAGGGCAGUCUGUUCAGAGAAAUCCAACUGAACAAAAGGGUUGCGCUCGUUAAAGGACUUAACCUAACAUCUCACGACACGAGCUGACGACGGCCAUGCAUCACCUGUCACUUGGCUCAAUAAAGCACUUUCUCCUUUCGGAGAAAUUCCAAGGAAGUCAAGCCUGGGUAAGGUUCUUCGCUUACCAUCGAAUUAAACAACACGCUCCACCGCUUGUGCGGGUCCCCGUCAAUUCCUUUGAGUUUUAAUCUUGCGACCGUACUCCCCAGGCGGGAUGCUUAACGCGUUAGCUUCGCUACUAGAAGGGUCGAUACUUCUAACAGCUAGCAUCCAUAGUUUACGGCGUGGACUAC
rnacentral:misc_RNA from 1 species